rnacentral:lncRNA from 1 species
UGAAGGUUUAGGGGUUUAGGGUUUACAGUUUACUUUUAGGGUUUAGAGUUUACAGUUUACUUUUAGGGUUUAGGGUUUAGAGUUUAGGGUUUAGGGUUUAGGGUUUUGAUUUUUAAGGUUUUGAUUUGAAGGUUUAGGGUCUAGGAUUCAAAUUUCAGAAAAAUAUAGGGUUUAGAGUUUACGUUUAGGGUUUUGAGCUGAUGUUGUAGGGUUUAGAUAUGAAGGUUAAGGGUUUAGAGUUUAGAGUUGAAGUUUCGCGGUUUAGGGUUUAGAGUUGAUGUUUCAUGGUUUAGGGUUUAGAGUUGAUGAUUUAGGGUUUAAAGUUGAUGUUUUAAGUUUAGAUUUAGGGUUUAGGGUUUACUUUGAAGGUUUCAUUUAGAGUUGAUGAUUUAGGGUUUAAAGUUGAUGUUUUAAGUUAGAUUUAUAUAAAAGUAUUAAUUUCCUAAACCAUUAGAUGAUCAGCGCACUGUCUGUACGGUGAUGCUGGAUCUGCUUUACAAUCAAAAAAAUCUGAAUCGCACUGCAGUGUAUAAAUAUUCAAUAGACAUCAUGAUUGAGUUCUUCUGAAUCGUGGAUCCUACACAGACUAAUCAAACAAUGAAUGGGAAGCGUCUGAAAUCAUCAGAAAAGGAAAAAAGGAGAAAGGAAAAAUGAACUAAAGCGGAAAAAAUUACACUGGAUUUGGAUGCGGAGGAGAGAGAGAGAUAAGAAGCAUAGAAAACUUGAAACAAAUCUGCAACUCGAUACAAUCUCUUCAAUUUAUAAACUUCUGAACAGUUACAACUGUCAAGGGAAAAUGAUGACGGUUCCACAGAAGAUCUAGAAGAUCUGAGUGCGAAAAGAUACAACCUUUAAGGAAAAAACAGAUGAUCUGUUUAAGAGACGCCUGUGAGGAGGUAUGAUGAAGCCGUCGAUUGCUAUAGUAAAUCUAGUACGUCAUUCUUUUGUUCCUAACCAAAACCUUAACCAUUAAAUUAUAUCACAUACACGAUUCUCACCAUUAGAUUUUGAUUUUUUCCUAUAAUAAAAUGAUGAUGUCAUCAGUUAGAUAAAAAAAGAUUUGCUAUUAUAUAUAGAUAAUAAAUAUAUACUAUUUCGAAAUUCAAACCCUAAACCCUAAAACUCAAUUCUAAACCCUAAACCAUCAAUCAUAAACCAUAUUUUAUUUUGAUAUAUGAACCCUAAACCCUAAACCAUCAAUCUUAAACCCUUUUAUUUUUUGAAAUACAAACCCUAAAUCCUGAAACAUCAAUUCUAAACUCUAAACCCCGAAACAUCAACUCUAAACCCUAAACCCUAAACCUUCAGCACUAAACCCUAAAACAUCAACUCUAAACUUUAAACCCUAAAAUUCAGCUCUAAACCCUAAACCAUCAACACUAAACCCUAAAUUUUCAACACUAAACCCUAAACCCUAAAAAGUAAACUCUAAACCCUAAAAUGAAAACUCUAAACCCUAAACCCUAAAAAAAUGACCCUAAACCCUAAAACAUCAACUCUAAACCCUAAACCUUCAACUUAAAAUCUAAACCCUAAACCCUAAACCCUAAAACCGUAGAGUUGAUGUUUUAGGGUUUAGAUUUGAAGGUUUAGGGGUUUAGGGUUUACAAUUUACAUUUAGGGUUUAGAGUUGAUUUUUAAGGUUUAAAUUUGAAGGUUUAGGGUCUAGGAUUCAAAUUUCAGAAAAUAUAGGUUUAGAGUUUACGUUUAGGGUUUUGAGCUGAUGUUGUAGGGUUUAGAUAUGAAGGUUUAGGGUUUAGAGUUUAGAGUUGAAGUUUCGCGGUUUAGGGUUUAGAGUUGAUGUUUCAUGGCUUACGGUUUAGAGUUGAUGAUUUAGGGUUUAAAGUUGAUGUUUUAAGUUU